CACCGCGGUUAAACGAGAGACCCUAGUUGAUUGUUGCGGCGUAAAAAGUGGUUAAGGAUACCCUUUACUAAAGCCAAAGACCUUCCAAGCCGUUACACGCACACGAAAGCACGAAGCCCCAACACGAAAGUAGCUUUACAACUCCUGACCCCACGAAAGCUAAGAAA
rnacentral:rRNA from 1 species